rnacentral:rRNA from 1 species
CCUACGGGUGGCAGCAGUGAGGAAUAUUGGUCAAUGGGCGCGAGCCUGAACCAGCCAAGUAGCGUGAAGGAUGACUGCCCUACGGGUUGUAAACUUCUUUUAUAAAGGAAUAAAGUGAGGCCCGUGUGCCUUUUUGUAUGUACUUUAUGAAUAAGGAUCGGCUACCUCCGUGCCAGCAGCCGCGGUAAUACGGAGGGUCCGAGCGUUAUCCGGAUUUAUUGGGUUUAAAGGGAGCGUAGAUGGGUUGUUAAGUCAGUUGUGAAAGUUUGCGGCUCAACCGUAAAAUUGCAAUUGAUACUGGCAGCCUUGAGUACAGGUGAGGUAGGCGGAAUGCGUGGUGUAGCGGCGAAAUGCUUAGAUAUCACGAAGAACUCCGAUUGCGAAGGCAGCUUACUAAACUGCCACUGACAUUGAUGCUCGAAAGUGUGGGUAUCAAACAGGAUUAGAUACCCCAGUAGUC